rnacentral:rRNA from 1 species
GUCGAGGGGUAUAGGUUUUCGGACCUAGAGACCGGCGCACGGGUGCGUAACGCGUAUGCAAUCUACCUUUUACAGAGGGAUAGCCCAGAGAAAUUUGGAUUAAUACCUCAUAGUAUUAUUGAAUGGCAUCAUUUAAUAAUUAAAGUCACAACGGUAAAAGAUGAGCAUGCGUCCCAUUAGCUAGUUGGUAAGGUAACGGCUUACCAAGGCAACGAUGGGUAGGGGUCCUGAGAGGGAGAUCCCCCACACUGGUACUGAGACACGGACCAGACUCCUACGGGAGGCAGCAGUGAGGAAUAUUGGUCAAUGGGCGCAAGCCUGAACCAGCCAUGCCGCGUGCAGGAUGAAGCAUCUAUGGUGUGUAAACUGCUUUUGUACGAGAAGAAGCACUCCUUCGUGAAGGAGCUUGACGGUAUCGUAAGAAUAAGGACCGGCUAACUCCGUGCCAGCAGCCGCGGUAAUACGGAGGGUCCAAGCGUUAUCCGGAAUCAUUGAGUUUAAAGGGUCCGUAGGCGGUUUUGUAAGUCAGUGGUGAAAGCCCAUCGCUCAACGGUGGAACGGCCAUUGAUACUGCAAGACUUGAAUUAUUAGGAAGUAACUAGAAUAUGUAGUGUAGCGGUGAAAUGCUUAGAGAUUACAUGGAAUACCAAUUGCGAAGGCAGGUUACUACUAAUGGAUUGACGCUGAUGGACGAAAGCGUGGGGAGCGAACAGGAUUAGAUACCCUGGUAGUCCACGCCGUAAACGAUGGAUACUAGCUGUUCGGAGCAAUCUGAGUGGCUAAGCGAAAGUGAUAAGUAUCCCACCUGGGGAGUACGUUCGCAAGAAUGAAACUCAAAGGAAUUGACGGGGGCCCGCACAAGCGGUGGAGCAUGUG